CGGCCCCAUACGAUACGAUAGUCGAUAAAUACUCUACCUGGUCGGUCGAGCACUUCCCGACGAACCAACGACACGAAAGCCGACCGAGCGUGCUGACCUAACCCGACCCACUGCUAGGCGCCUUCGCCUCGAUCCGCCGCCUCCGGCACCCCCUCCACCUCCCACGCGCGUCGCCCCCGUUGAUCGCCGCCGCCGUUCCCUUUGAUUUUGAGGGGCUUUAUAAGGAUUUAGGAUGCCUCGAGUUGGAGACCCAAACGCAUCUUCUAUCUUGAGAAUCACAUAUGAGUUGGGAUACCUUGCUUCCAUCAUCGCAGGAUGUUGGGUCGACGGCAACCUUUUUAUACAUGGCAUUCGUUAUAUGUCAACCUUCACAGACUUGAGUGGAAAAGUCCUAGCUAUAGGGCGGCCUUUGAUGAUAGCCAACUCUGUGAUGUUGCUUCUUGACAGAAUCAACUCACCAUAUGCACGGACUUUAAGCCUCACCAGAUGAAACUUUGUACGUAUCAAAUAUGGUGUGGUCUCCUGAAAUUUCUGUGUCAAAAGUGUAGUUUGUUCCCUUUAAUGAAGUGUGGAUGUGAAGGUGAACCGUGAUGUGAUACUCUGUUUCUUAUCGUUGGCAAAAUGUUUGAAAUUUGUCUAUGAAGUAUACUCCUAUGUCUUAUCUGAACCAUCGAUUGUAC
rnacentral:rRNA from 1 species